AAUACGAAAACCUCUUUCUUUAUCGAAAGUAAUACGGAAGAGACGGGCGAUUAAAAAAAUCGCACAUAUAGGUCUCUGGCCAGCCUUUUCCCUAGAAAACUGCUCUUCUUCCCCAGGUAUCUUCACUUUUUACCCAAUAGAUGCGAUUAAUAGUUGAGUUUGGAUUGUGCUGCUCGAUUAUCCUCUAUCGUCGUUGUUAGUAUUCUCUGUUUUAUCUGUUUCCCACUUCUCUUUUCAUGUAGAUUUCAAUAUUUUCGCAGAACUCGUUCUUCUCCUUCAAUUUCUAGUCUUUAUCGACAAAAUAAUUUGCUUACCAGGUGUUAAUGCAAUAAUUUGCUUCAACCUGAAGUAAAAUGGAAAACUGUAAUUUGGACUUGGGAUGAUGGGCACUUGGCUUGGAAAGUUACUAUGUUUGUGUUAAGAAAAGUGGCGGAGCGGAGAUAUUCUGAACCCUGAUGAACUUUUCUUAUGUUGGUCAUUUCCUGAUACAAAGAAGCCACUAGGUGUCUUAUAAUGAGUCGGGGGGCUUAAAACUUAGAGCUUUUUGCUGCUGAGGAUUGGCAAGUAUGGUUUCCCCUAUGUUGUUUCUUCCUUACUGUCAUAUACGGAAAUGGCUUUCAUGUAUCUAUUUUUUACUUUCAAUCUCAGUUUCAUUAUGUCACAACUAUAUCCAAUUGACCCUUUAGAUCAUUCUCAAAAAAUCCCGAGAAAAAGUAUCACACAAUAGCUUAUUUUUUUGGGGUCCAACUAGUAGUAGUUUCCCUCCAUGAACACUUUACUCUUAAAUAUCUAUCUUGUGUUAGUAAGUGGAGUCUCGGCAAGAGAAAAUAGAAGUUUUUGCCUUUUGCUUUUCUUAAGAUCUUAUAUGUUGUCCUUGUCCUCUAUUUAAUUGUUUUCCUCUAUGUAUUUACUAUGUGAAGGAGAAAUGUAAUUUUUUAUUUUC